UGUGGUGGAGUAAAUGCUAGUGAUGGUAAAAAUGUAUAAGGGAUAAUAAAACUUACUUCUCAUUGCUCCUCAUAUUGCUAUCUCUCCUCUUCUUUGAUCUUUGCUUUGGGAGAACAUGGGCUAUCUCUCCUUUUUUUCAGGUGGGUAGUAGAUACCCCUAAUUCUACUGUCGGACACUUGUCCAUUUUUUCCGCUCAAGUGGGCAUCUUUGUACCCCUAAUUCUACUCCGGACACUUGUCCAUUUUUACCUCUCGUCUCACUCUUUUUCUUUCUUUUUCGAGGUUCUGGGCACUUGCCCCUUUUUAUUUCCUCGCAUAUUUUUGCAUAACCCAUGCCUCUUCUGCAUUGAAUCUUUUU
rnacentral:lncRNA from 1 species